rnacentral:rRNA from 1 species
GAUGAACGCUGGCGGCGUGCCUAAUACAUGCAAGUCGAGCGAACAGACGAGGAGCUUGCUCCUCUGACGUUAGCGGCGGACGGGUGAGUAACACGUGGAUAACCUACCUAUAAGACUGGGAUAACUUCGGGAAACCGGAGCUAAUACCGGAUAAUAUAUUGAACCGCAUGGUUCAAUAGUGAAAGACGGUUUUGCUGUCACUUAUAGAUGGAUCCGCGCCGCAUUAGCUAGUUGGUAAGGUAACGGCUUACCAAGGCGACGAUGCGUAGCCGACCUGAGAGGGUGAUCGGCCACACUGGAACUGAGACACGGUCCAGACUCCUACGGGAGGCAGCAGUAGGGAAUCUUCCGCAAUGGGCGAAAGCCUGACGGAGCAACGCCGCGUGAGUGAUGAAGGUCUUCGGAUCGUAAAACUCUGUUAUUAGGGAAGAACAAAUGUGUAAGUAACUAUGCACGUCUGGACGGUACCUAAUCAGAAGACCACGGCGAACUACGU